rnacentral:rRNA from 1 species
UACAUGUGGGGCAAGCGUUGUUCGGAAUUACUGGGCAUAAAGGGUGCGUAGGCGGCUUGUUAAGUCGAACGUGAAAUCCCUGGGCUCAACCCAGGAACUGCGUCCGAUACUGGUUGGCUUGAAUCCGGGAGAGGGAUGUGGAAUUCCAGGUGUAGCGGUGAAAUGCGUAGAUAUCUGGAGGAACACCGGUGGCGAAGGCGACAUCCUGGACCGGCAUUGACGCUGAGGCGCGAAAGCCAGGGGAGCAAACGGG